GACAUGGUUUUUACUUGGUGUUUCUCCAAUAUCUUGCCGAUCCUGUCCGUGACUCCAUGUAUGUACGGGAGGCAAGCCC
rnacentral:lncRNA from 1 species